AGCAGCCGCGGUAAUUCCAGCUCCAAUAGCGUAUAUUAAAGUUGUUGCAGUUAAAAAGCUCGUAGUUGAACUUCGGGAUUUGCCCAUUGGUCAGGCUUAACUGUCUGCACUGGUGUGACGAGUUCCUACCUUCUGAGGAAUCUCCAUGUCAUUCAGUUGGUGUGGGGGGAAAUCAGGACUGUUACUUUGAAAAAAUUAGAGUGUUUAAAGCAGGCGUCCGUCUGAAUACAUUAGCAUGGAAUAAUAAAAUAGGACGGUUUGGUUCUAUUUUGUUGGUUUCUAGGAUCACCGUAAUGAUUAAUAGGGAUAGUUGGGGGCAUUAGUAUUCAAUUGUCAGAGGUGAAAUUCUUGGAUUUAUUGAAGACUAACUACUGCGAAAGCAUUUGCCAAGGAUGUUUUACAUUAAUCAAGAACGAAAGUUAGGGGAUCGAAGACGAUCAGAUACCGUCGUAGUCUUAACCAUAAACUAUGCCGACUAGGGAUUCGGACGAAGUUAAUUUUUAAUGACUCGUUCGGCACC
rnacentral:rRNA from 1 species